UGAAAAGGCGAGGUAAGAGCUCACCAGUACUGCUGGUGACAGCGGUAGCUUGGUAAACCCUAUCCGGAGCAAGAUCAAAUAGGAAAGUGUUCGAGGGCUGCCCGUCCGAUGCUUUCGGGUUGAUUGCUUGAGCCUGUUGGCAACAGCAGGCCUAGAUUGAUGGUCACCACUUCAUUUUAAAUGAAGAACAAAACCCGGCUUAUGGUUUGCUUCGGCUU
rnacentral:RNase_P_RNA from 1 species